rnacentral:rRNA from 1 species
GCACUAGCCAUAAGCCUGUCAUUGGAUGGCUCGGUUCGAGUGCCGAAGAAGGGCGUGCCAAGCUGCGAUAAGCUCCGGGUAGACGCAGGGAGUCAAUGAACCGGAGAUACCCUAAUGGGACAUCCCAACACUUCGGUGUUGAUCCGUUGAGGAUCGGGAACGCCCCGAAUUGAAACAUCUCAGUAGGGGCAGGAGAAGAAAUCAACCGAGAUGUCGUUAGUAGAGGCGAUCGAACACGACACAGUUCAAACCGAAUCCCGCAAGGGAGAUGUGGUGUUAUAAGCCCACCGUAUGGCACUUCAACGCCAAGCGAAAGUCGUCUGGAACGUCGCACCGUAGAGGGUGAUAGUCCCGUACGCGUACGCGGAGAAGGCCUGGUGGUGUCUUGAGUACCGCGGGUUGGAAUUCUCGCGGGAAUUCAGGGGUCAUCAACCUCUAAAACUAAAUACAACUCGAAACCGAUAGCGAAAUAGUAGCGUGAGCGAAAGCUGAAAAGUAACCCUGAAAAGGUGGUUAAAAGCGCCUGAAAUUGACAGGUGAUGGUGGGUUAUGGCAUGAAAGGAUCUUCCACACGAAGGAACCCAUCGCGAGGUGGUAGUACGGGUGUGGUUGCCGAUGUCAUAACGUACGUUUUGAAGAACGGGCCAGAGAGUUUAUUCUAUUGGCAAGGUUAACCGUUAAGGGGAGCCGAAGGGAAACCAACAAGUCCGUAGGCCGCAAGGCCGUGGGACGACGUAUUAAAAGUGCGUGGAGUCAGUAGGAUAAGACCCGAAGCCUGGUGAUCUAUGCGUGGGCAGGUUGAAGCGUGACGAAAGUUGCGUGGAGGACCGCAAGCGGUUUUGAUAUGCAAAUCAUUCGCGUGACCUGCGUAUAGGAGUGAAAGAUUCAUCGAACCAGGCAUCAGCUGGUUCCUCUCGAAACAUGCCGCAGCAUGACCUGGCUGGAGAUCGAUGGUGAGGUAGAGCACUGAUUGGGGGAGCUGGGGGAGAAAUCCCUCACCCCCCUGCCAAACUCCAAACUCCCCAUCAUCCUAGAAGGCCGGUAGUCCGGGCUACGGGGUAAGCUUGUAGUCCGUAAGGGAGACAACCCAGACCGUGGUUAAUGUCCCUCAAUGUAGGCUAAGUGUCAACACUGAAAGUAGUCCUAGGCCAAAGACAACUGGGAGGUGAGCUCAGAAGCAGCUAUCCUUUAAAAAGUGCGUAACAGCUUACCAGUCAAGGUUUAGGGCGCUGAAAAUGGACGGGGCUAAAGCCUACUACAGAGACCACGGAGCACCGAAAGGUGAUCUCGUAGAGAGGCGUUCUGCAUGGGUAGAAGCUGGGGCGUAAGUUCCAGUGGACCGUGUAGAAUUGAGAAUUCUGGCAAUAGUAGAAGCAAAGAUGGGUGAGAAUCCCAUCCGCCGCAGGGGCUAGGUUUCCUCGGCAAUGUUCGUCAGCCGAGGGUUAGUCGGUCCUAAGGUGUACCGUAAUUCGAGUACAUCGAAAGGGAAACAGGUUAAUAUUCCUGUACCAUUCAUCUGCAGUUCUUCGGAACCCUGACACUUCGGGGUAUGUUGAGCGGGGUCGUCGCCCCGUCCAAGCGUAUAAUCCCAGGGAGUACCGCAAUGGUGAGAAAUGGGAGAAAGCGUGAUGGGGAAACUCGACAAAUUCCUGGAGUCCAUGAAAAGGGAGAUGAAUGUCCGUACCGAGAACUGACACAGGUGCCCCUCGCUGAAAAGGCGAAGGCGUGUCGGAUUUAAUCGUGUUAAGGGAACUCGGCAAAUUGGCCCCGUAACUUUGGGAGAAGGGGUGCCUGCCUGGAGAUCAGGCAGGUCGCAGUGACCAGGGAGCUCUGACUGUCUAAUAACAACAUAGGUGACUGCAACUCGGAAACGACUAGUAUAGUCACUGAUUCCUGCCCAGUGCAAGUAUCUGAACACCCGGUACAACGGGACGAAGGACUUGUAAACGGCGGGGGUAACUAUGACCCUCUUAAGGUAGCGUAGUACCUUGUCGCUUAAUUGGCGACUUGCAUGAAUGGAUUAACAAGAGCUCUACUGUCCCUAACACGAAUCCGUUGAACUUUUUGUCCUAGUGCAGAGACUAGGGACUCCUAUUGGGAAGUGAAGACCCCGUGGAGCUUUACUGCAGCCUGUCGUUGGGUUACGAUAUUACAUGCGCAGGGUAGAUGGGAGGUGUCGAUCCGUUCCUUGUGGGGAACGGGGAGCCAACGAUGAGACACCAUCCUUGUUUUCUUGUAACUCUAACUCUAACGAGGACAUCGGUAGGUAGGCAGUUUGGGUGGGGCGCCACACCCUCGAAAAAAUAUCAAGGGUGCCCUAAGGUCAACUCAUGUGAGUCAGAAACUCACAGGAGAGUGUCAAGAGCAUAAGUUGGCCUGACGCGAUUACGAACAGCAAGUAAUCGCGAGAGGAAACUCGGGUCUAACGAACCAAUACGCCCUUUUGGUGAGGGCUAUUGACGACAGAAAAGCUACCCCGGGGAUAACAGAGUCGUCGCCGGCAAGAGCACAUAUCGACCCGGCGGCUUGCUACCUCGAUGUCGGUUCUUUCCAUCCUGGCUGUGCAGCAGCAGCCAAGGGUGAGGUUGUUCGCCUAUUAAAGGGGAUCGUGAGCUGGGUUUAGACCGUCGUGAGACAGGUCGGUUACUAUCUAAUAGGAGUGUCAGGAGUCUGAAGGCAAGAAUGAAAUAGUACGAGAGGAACUUUCAUUCGGCGCCUCUGGUCGAUCGGUUGUCCGACAGGGCAAUGCCGAGCAGCUACGCGCCAAGGGAUAAAAGCUGAAAGCAUCUAAGCUUGAAACCCCGCCUAAAAAGAGACUCCGUCAUAGGACAUCGGUAAAAGACCGGUUUGAUAGGCCUGGGAUGUACGCACGAAGGCAACGACGUGUUCAGUCCGCAGGUACUAACGUCCGAAGCGCUAGUGC